AAUAAGGGUCGGUUGGCUAAAAUGUCACGCAAGCCUUAGUUAGGGGGUGCUGUAUGGGUAUCAAGACAUAUGACCGACAUAAUUUGUGGUACUUGUAUGGGUAUCAAGACAUAUG